rnacentral:rRNA from 1 species
UACGGGAGGCAGCAGUGGGGAAUAUUGCACAAUGGGCGAAAGCCUGAUGCAGCUAUGCCGCGUGUAUGAAGAAGGCCUUAGGGUUGUAAAGUACUUUCAUCGGGGAGGAAAAACAAAACUAAUAAUUUUAUUUCUUGACGUUACCCGAAAAAGAAGCACCGGCUAACUCCGUGCCAGCAGCCGCGGUAAUACGGAGGGUGCUAGCGUUAAUCAGAAUUACUGGGCGUAAAGAGCACGUAGGUGGUUUUUUUAAGUCAGAUGUGAAAUCCCUGGGCUUAACCUAGGAACUGCAUUUUGAAACUGAAAUACUAGAGUAUCGUAGAGGGAGGUAGAAUUCUAGGUGUAGCGGUGAAAUGCGUAGAUAUCUGGAGGAAUACCUGUGGCGAAAGCGGCCUCCUAAACGAAUACUGACACUGAGGUGCGAAAGCGUGGGGAGCAAAACAGGGAUUAGGAUACC